UAGGCGGCUUUCAGGGAUCAUUUCUGUAGUUGGUUACUAGAGAACUUUCUGUGAAAGUGUAGAGCCCCGGAAACGACAGGAGGUGCAGUUUUCUCCUGAAUGUGAAGCCUGUGUUGCUAUCACCAUUGAUGUUUCUUCUCCUCCGGGGGGAGUGAGAGGGAGAGGACACAGGCUGAGUGGU
ensembl:snoRNA U3 Small nucleolar RNA U3